rnacentral:lncRNA from 1 species
AUCCUCUCUCAUGUGGCCACUUCUGCUGCUUUUUCCCCAGAAAUAUUUAGCAUUGUUUGAGGCGGAGCUGAAAAAAAUCCAGAAUGACCACAAUGUCCAGGUGGAGGAGGCCCAGCGCUGGAAGGAGAGCUGGAAGUGCUCCCUGCAAACCAUCCACAGCCUCUACACCUGACACCCUCCCCCACCCCCAAUAAAGCUUUAUUCUGUGCUGGGCGGUGGCUACAGGAGUCAGUUACUUAAAAUAGACCCUAAGACUGUGAAGGAAAUGACAUCCAAAAGCAUGCCUGGCACUUCUGUUCAUUUCUUCUGAAAGGAGCUCUGCAAAGACAGGGCCCAGCAGUCAGGGCAUAAGGUAUCAGGGGCCAGCCCGGCCAGUAUUGCUGGAAAACACC